rnacentral:rRNA from 1 species
CCUACGGGAGGCAGCAGUGGGGAAUAUUGGACAAUGGGCGAAAGCCUGAUCCAGCCAUGCCGCGUGUGUGAAGAAGGUCUUCGGAUUGUAAAGCACUUUAAGUUGGGAGGAAGGGUUGUAGCCUAAUACGUUGCAACUUUGACGUUACCGACAGAAUAAGCACCGGCUAACUUCGUGCCAGCAGCCGCGGUAA